UGCCAGCAGUCGCGGUUAAACCAAGAAAUUUAGUCAUUCUUUUAUGGUAAAAAGACAGUUAGGCAAAGAUAGUUGAGAUUAUUAGACCUUUAGUAUAGGAGUAAAAUCUAAAUACUAGAAGUUAUACCAGAUAUAAUUUGUUUAGAGUGUUGAAUCUGUGACAGCUUUAAGGGAAACUGGGAUUGGAUACCCCAUUAUUUUUAGUUAUAAAUUUAGUUUAAGCUUACCGGAGUACUACGAAUAAAAAGUUUAAAACUCAAAGGGCUUGGCGGUGUUUUAGACCUCUCAGGGGAACCUGUCUCGUAAUCGACAAUCCACGCUAGACCUAACCUUUUGUGGUAGUACAGCCUGUAUACCGUCGUCGUCAGGUAACUUCUUAAAAUAUAGUAGUUAGCUUGAGAAUUUGAUUAAUUAGAACGUCAGAUCAAGGUGCAGCUAAUGAAAAGGUGAGGAUGGGUUACAAUUACAUAUUUGUAAAUACGGAAAAUACUUGAAAUGAAGUAUCUUAAAGGAGGACUUGAAAGUAAUUUUAAUUAUAUAAAUAGAAUGAAUAAGGCUCUGAAACGUGCACACAUCGCCCGCCACUCU
rnacentral:rRNA from 1 species